GCGGGAGAGUGUGGUUAUGAGGGUAUUGAAGUAAUUAACUUUUGCAGAGGAAAGAGCCAAGUUGUAUGAGCUCAGCAUAAAUUUAUAGUGGAGAAAGUCAGAUGCACAGUGAGACUUUCUCCAACAGCGUUCAGCAGUUCUGGAGCAUUUUUGGAGGUAUCGAGUGAGCUUGGUGUGCCAGGGUUGUUGUUGGGGGGGGGGCCUGCGGCGUUUAAAUGUACAAGGUGCCAUGAUGUCUAGUUGAGAGGAGAGGGUGGAAUUGUAGAAGGAGGUUGCAUAGCUAGGACAGGUGAGGUUUGAGAUAGGUAAAAGGAGAGUUUGGAGAUUAGUGGAGAAAUGCUCUAGGUCAAGACAUUGGAGGUUUCUGUGAGAGUGUGUACCUAGUACUAGCUAUCUUUUUAAAUUUGUCAAUGUAUAAUGAUGACAUUUUAUAAAAAAAAAUUUAAAUUAAGUCUCAUAUGUAUGUUCAAAUAAAUAUAUUAAUCGAAAUAAAAAAAAAAACAACUUUGCAAUAUCUGACAUCCAUUGUCAC